UAACAUUUAACUUUAAAUCACACACAUUCCGACACGUGUUCCGGGGUGCUUCCAGCGAGGCUGAGAAGUCGGAGACAUGGGGGAUGUGGAGGCCUAAC
rfam:Vibrio furnissii NCTC 11218 chromosome 1, complete sequence.